GGGUGGCCUGAAUGCAGUGGUGUUUACAACUAAUUAAUCACAACCAGUUACAGAUUUCUUUGCUCCUUCUCCAUUUUUACUGCUUUACUUGACUAGCCUAAA
ensembl:misc_RNA Y_RNA Y RNA